AGGGAAUCUUCCGCAAUGGGCGAAAGCCUGACGGAGCAACGCCGCGUGAGCGAAGAAGGUCUUCGGAUUGUAAAGCUCUGUCUUCUGAGACGAACCCGGUGGAGAGGAAAUGCUCCACAGUUGACGGUAUCAGAGGAGGAAGCCCCGGCUAACUACGUGCCAGCAGCCGCGGUAAUACGUAGGGGGCAAGCGUUGUCCGGAAUCACUGGGCGUAAAGCGCGCGCAGGCGGCUUUUUAAGUCAGGGGUGAAAGCCCAGGGCUCAACCUUGGAAGCGCCUUGGAAACGGAAAAGCUUGAGCGUCGGAGAGGCAAGGGGAAUUCCACGUGUAGCGGUGAAAUGCGUAGAGAUGUGGAGGAACACCAGUGGCGAAGGCGCCUUGCUGGCCGAUAGCUGACGCUGAGGCGCGAAAGCGUGGGGAGCAAAC
rnacentral:rRNA from 1 species